rnacentral:rRNA from 1 species
CACUCAGCAAUGAGUGACCGGCGAACGGGUGCGUAACACGUGAGCGACCUGCCGUACCUGUGGGGGAUAGCCGGCCCAACGGCCGGGUAAUACCGCAUACGAUCGUUUUGUCGCACGGCGAGACGACNAAAGCUUGGCGCAAGUCAGGCGCAGGACGAGGGGCUCGCGGCCUAUCAGCUUGUUGGCGGGGUAACGGCCCACCAAGGCGACGACGGGUAGCUGGUCUGAGAGGAUGNCCAGCCACAUUGGGACUGAGAGACGGCCCAGACUCCUACGGGAGGCAGCAGUGGGGGAAUCUUGCGCAAUGNCCGAAAG